GCAAACCUACGGGACGCAGCAGUGAGGAAUAUUGGUCAAUGGGCGCGAGCCUGAACCAGCCACGUAGCGUGAAGGAUGACUGCCCUACGGGUUGUAAACUUCUUUUAUAAAGGAAUAAGGUGAGGCACGUGUGCCUUUUUGUAUGUACUUUAUGAAUAAGGAUCGGCUAACUCCGUGCCAGCAGCCGCGGUAAUACGGAGGAUCCGAGCGUUAUCCGGAUUUAUUGGGUUUGAAGGGAGCGUAGAUGGGUUGUUAAGUCAGUUGUGAAAGUUUGCGGCUCAACCCUAAAAUUGCAAUUGAUACUG
rnacentral:rRNA from 1 species